GGAUGUGAUCAUAGCAGCACUAAUGCACCAGAUCCCAUCAGAACUGCGCAGCUAAGCGUGCUUGGGCAAGAGUAGUACUAGGAUGGGUGUCCUCCAAAGAACGCCUCGUGUUGCAUCCC
rfam:Arabidopsis thaliana chromosome 5, complete sequence.